ACUUGCUUCGGCAGUAAGUACAUAUAUAAAAUUGGAAAGAUACAGAGUAGAUUAGCAUGGCGCCUGCGCAGGGAUGACACGCAAAAUUGUUAAGCGUUUCAAACUUUU